rnacentral:lncRNA from 1 species
CACGAAUAUAGAUACAGUCUGGAAUUGGCUGUAGCAAUUGAGUUUCUUCCGACAGUCAAACGACAAAUCUACACUCCUCUUCUUCAUAAUGAUAAUUUUUCAUAUUUUUUUUUGUUUUUGUUGUCAACUAUAACUUUUUUUUUUUUUGGUUAAUAGUUUUAGUACUAAAAUAAUAUUCAAAUAUCGUUGAAACAACUGAUUAAUCAGAUAGGUGAACAUGCUUCUUAGCCAAUAAUUUCAUGCAAGAUCAUCAUGGACACAACACAACAUUCAAACUAAAGUUCAAAAAUGAUCAAAUGACCGACGUGUAAUGUUUUGCACCUAUAUAUUGUCGUAAAGCUAUAAUGAGA